rnacentral:rRNA from 1 species
GUGGGGAAUUUUGCGCAAUGGGGGGAACCCUGACGCAGCAACGCCGCGUGAGUGACGACGCCGUUCGCGGUGUAAAGCUCUGUUGGUGGGGACGAAGGCCUCUGUGUGAAGAGCAUGGGGGGAUGACGGUACCUGCUGAGGAAGCCCCGGCUAACUCCGUGCCAGCAGCCGCGGUAAGACGGAGGGGGCGAGCGUUGUUCGGAAUUACUGGGCGUAAAGCGCCCGUAGGCGGUGGCUUACGUGGGCAGUGAAAACCCUGGGCUUAACUCAGGCAGGGCUGUUCAAACGGAGUCACUGGAGUGCCGGAGGGGGAGGCGGAAUGCCUGGUGGAGCGGUGAAAUGCGUAGAGAUCAGGCAGAACGUCGGUGGCGAAGGCGGCCUCCUGGACGGACACUGACGCUGAGGGGCGACAGCGUGGGGAGCGAACGGGAUUAGAAACCCUAGUAGUCC